CUUCCUUUCUCACUGCAGAUCUCCAGGUUCUGUUGGUCAUAUUGUGUGACAAAGCUUCAUUCACCUUAUGUGCAUCCUGUGUCAUCUAGCAGGGAAUCCAGGACAAGCUGGAAUGGGAACAUUCUAGGAGACAACAUCGAAUUCUACCUCAGAGCAUCGCUUGGGAUGGAAAUGGAGUUUGACUAGUCCUCAUCAGGUGCCUGGCCACAAAGUAAAUCAUGGACCCCAGCUCCUGACCUGCAGAUGUGCACAUUGCACAUUAGUGGCACUGAAGGAGGGGUGUGCCUCUCACCUCUCAUCUCCUGGAAGAUUACCAUGUCAAUGCUGAGAUCCAGAGGAGCUCAGAGGUUCCUCAGAGCAUCAUGAUGGCAUGCUGUGCAGGAAAAUUCAUUGGUCGCUCUUCCACCUUUCAAGUGUAGACAACGAGGCAAAUCACCAACAACACCUGUGGAAUCUACCAGAGGUUCCUCUAUUAAAGCCUCCCAGAUAACCCAGAAAACAUGCCUGAAAGAGAAAGAAAUUAUCUCAGAAGAGUCUUGGGAAAUGAAUGUUCUCCUCUUUCUGAACUCUAGACUGGAUCUUGAGAAUGGCAGAGUCCAUGGAGCCCUGUCCCAGGCUAUCACUAACUUGAAAAGGAGAACUUGAAGACAUGUAUUUGGACUAUCCUCACUGGUAUUAGAGAUAAUGUUCAAACAAGUAUUGAAGUACUCAAUCAGAAUUCCUAUGUAAUCUCUAUAAACAGUCUUACAGAACACUUUGUGCCUGAGAGAUGUACAAAUUAAUAGCUCAGUU